GAUGAACGCUGGCGGCGUGCCUAAUACAUGCCAGUCGAGCGAACGGACGAGAAGCUUGCUUCUCUGAUGUUAGCGGCGGACGGGUGAGUAACACGUGGAUAACCUACCUAUAAGACUGGGAUAACUUCGGGAAACCGGAGCUAAUACCGGAUAAUAUUUUGAACCGCAUGGUUCAAAAGUGAAAGACGGUCUUGCUGUCACUUAUAGAUGGAUCCGCGCUGCAUUAGCUAGUUGGUAAGGUAACGGCUUACCAAGGCAACGAUGCAUAGCCGACCUGAGAGGGUGAUCGGCCACACUGGAACUGAGACACGGUCCAGACUCCUACGGGAGGCAGCAGUAGGGAAUCUUCGGCAAUGGGCGAAAGCCUGACGGAGCAACGCCGCGUGAGUGAUGAAGGUCUUCGGAUCGUAAAACUCUGUUAUUAGGGAAGAACAUAUGUGUAAGUAACUGUGCACAUCUUGACGGUACCUAAUCAGAAAGCCACGGCUAACUACGUG
rnacentral:rRNA from 1 species